AGCGAACGUUAGCGGCGGGCCUAACACAUGCAAGUCGAACGAGAAUGAGGGAGCAAUCCCUCUAGUAAAGUGGCGGACGGGUGCGUAACACGUGGGUAAUCUACCUUCCGGCGGGGGACAACAGUCCGAAAGGAUUGCUAAUACCGCAUACGUCAGCGAGGUCUACGGAUCUUGUUGGGAAAGAUGGCCUCUCCUUGGAAGCUGUCACCGGAAGAUGAGCCCGCGUCCCAUCAGCUAGUUGGCGAGGUAAUGGCUCACCAAGGCAUAGACGGGUAGCUGGUCUGAGAGGAUGAUCAGCCACACUGGGACUGCGACACGGCCCAGACUCCUACGGGUGGCAG
rnacentral:rRNA from 1 species